rnacentral:misc_RNA from 1 species
GAUGAAGAACGCAGCGAAAUGCGUUAAGUAAUGUGAAUUGCAGAAUUCAGUGAAUCAUCGAAUCUUUGAACGCACCUUGCACCCUUUGGCAUUCCGAAGGGUAUGCUCGUUUGAGUGUCAUUGUACUCUCACACUCCCAAUUGCUUUGGAUUGGGAGCGGUGGACUUGGGUGUUGCUGCUUGACUGAGGCUCACCUGAAAUAUGUUAGUGCACCUCUUGAUUGGACAUAGUACGGCGUGAUAAGUGUCUUCGCCGGCUCCUCGCAAAGAGGGUGGCCGAUCGGGAGCUCUGUUGCUUCAAACUGUCCUCGGACAAUCUUCUGGCGACUUGACCUCAAAUCGAGUAGGACUACCCGCUGAACUUAAGCAUAUCAAUAAGCGGAGGA